UACAGAGGGAGCAAGCGUUGUUCGGAAUUACUGGGCGUAAAGGGCGCGUAGGCGGUUCGAUAAGUCCCGUGUGAAAUCCCUCGGCUCAACUGAGGAAUGGCACGGGAAACUGACGGGCUUGAGUUCGGGAGAGGGAAGCGGAAUUCCGGGUGUAGCGGUGAAAUGCGUAGAUAUCGUGAGGAACACCAGAGGCGAAGGCGGUUUCCUGGACAGUUACUGACGCUCAGGCACGAAAGCAUGGGGAGCAAAAGGG
rnacentral:rRNA from 1 species